GAUUGGCGAUCCGUUGGAUACCGACCGAGUUAUAGGCAAAACUUGGGGCAAAAAUGAGCCUUAUGAAAUAUUCAAAUUUUAUAUUUUUUAAUUUUUUUUUAUAAUUUUUCAUUUUUUUUUUGUUUAAAACAUUAUUUGAGUGAAAAGAAACUUAUUGCAACCAAUUGGCAUUGAAAUAAAUCAAUUUAAAUUUUUUUGCAAAAUUUCCCAAAAAAAUCGUAAGGGGUAAGCCUUAUGAAAUUUUCGAGUGGAAAUUUUUUUUUAAAUUUUUUUCUGAUUUUUUAUUCUUUUUUUACUUUAAAGCAUUAUUUGAGUGAAAAGAAACUUAGUGCAACAAAUUCGCAUUAAAUUAUAUCAAUUUUUUAAAUUUUGCUGAAUUGCUCAAAAAUGAGGAAAAUUUUACAUUUUCUCAAACAGGGUAUGGAACUUGGUUCCUCGAAUAACUUCUGGCACAGACAUCUGAGGGCAUGGCCGUCCAAGAAGAAAAUGUAGCCAUUGGUGCCAUCUAUCGACCACAGGUUAAAGAUUGGCGAUCCGUUGGAUACCGACCGAGUUAUAGGCAAAACUUGAUGCAAAAAUGAAGAAAAUUUUACAUUUUCUCAAGCAGGGUAUGGAACUUGGUUCUUCGAAUAACUUCUGGCACAGACAUCUGAGGGCAUGGCCGUCCACGAAGAAAAUGUAGCCAUUGGUGCCAUCUAUCGACCACAGGUUAAAGAUUGGCGAUCCGUUGGAUACCGACCGAGUUAUAGGCAAAACUUGGCGCAAAAAUGAGCCUUAUGAAAUUUUCAAAUUUUAUAUUUUUAAAUUAUUUUAUAAUUUUUCAUUCUUUUUUUGUUUAAAACAUUACUUGAGUGAAAAGAAACUUAUUGCAACCAAUUGGCAUUAAAAUAAAUCAAUUUAAAUUUUUUUGCAAAAUUUUCCAAAGAAAACGUAAGGGGUAAGCCUUAUGAAAUUUUCGAGUGAAAAUUUUUUUUUUAAUUUUUUUCUGAUUUUUUAUUCUUUUUUUACUUUAAAGCAUUAUUUGAGUGAAAAAAAACUUAUUGCAACAAAUUCGCAUUAAAUUAUAUCAAUUUUUUAAAUUUUGCUGAAUUGCUCAAAAAUGAGGAAAAUUUUACAUUUUCUCGAACAGGGUAUGGAACUUGGUUCCUCGAAUAACUUCUGGCACAGACAUCUGAGGGCAUGGCCGUCCAAGAAGAAAAUGUAGCCAUUGGUGCCAUCUAUCGACCACAGGUUGAAGAUUGGCGAUCCGUUGGAUACCGACCGAGUUAUAGGCAAAACUUGGCGCAAAAAUGAGCCUUAUGAAAUUUUAUAUUUUUUAAUUUUUUUUUAUAAUUUUUCAUUCUUUUUUUGUUUAAAACAUUACUUGAGUGAAAAGAAACUUAUUGCAACCAAUUGGCAUUAAAAUAAAUCAAUUUAAAUUUUUUUGCAAAAUUUCCCAAAAAAAUCGUAAGGGGUAAGCCUUAUGAAAUUUUCGAGUGGAAAUUUUUUUUUAAAUUUUUUUCUGAUUUUUUAUUCUUUUUUUACUUUAAAGCAUUAUUUGAGUGAAAAGAAACUUAUUGCAACAAAUUCGCAUUAAAUUAUAUCAAUUUUUUAAAUUUUGCUGAAUUGCUCAAAAAUGAAGAAAAUUUUACAUUUUCUCAAACAGGGUAUGGAACUUGGUUCCUCGAAUAACUUCUGGCACAGACAUCUGAGGGCAUGGCCGUCCAAGAAGAAAUUGUAGCCAUUGGUGUCAUCUAUCGACCACAGGUUGAAGAUUGGCGAUCCGUUGGAUACCGACCGAGUUAUAGGCAAAACUUGGCGCAAAAAUGAGUCUUAUGAAAUUUUCAAAUUUUAUAUUUUUUAUUUUUUUUUUAUAAUUUUUCAUUUUUUUUUGUUUAAAACAUUAUUUGAGUGAAAAGAAACUUAUUGCAACCAAUUGGCAUUGAAAUAAAUCAAUUUAAAUUUUUUUGCAAAAUUUCCCAAAAAAAUCGUAAGGGGUAAGCCUUAUGAAAUUUUCGAGUGGAAAUUUUUUUUUAAAUUUUUUUCUGAUUUUUUAUUCUUUUUUUACUUUAAAGCAUUAUUUGAGUGAAAAGAAACUUAGUGCAACAAAUUCGCAUUAAAUUAUAUCAAUUUUUUAAAUUUUGCUGAAUUGCUCAAAAAUGAGGAAAAUUUUACAUUUUCUCAAACAGGGUAUGGAACUUGGUUCCUCGAAUAACUUCUGGCACAGACAUCUGAGGGCAUGGCCGUCCAAGAAGAAAAUGUAGCCAUUGGUGCCAUCUAUCGACCACAGGUUAAAGAUUGGCGAUCCGUUGGAUACCGACCGAGUUAUAGGCAAAACUUGAUGCAAAAAUGAAGAAAAUUUUACAUUUUCUCAAGCAGGGUAUGGAACUUGGUUCUUCGAAUAACUUCUGGCACAGACAUCUGAGGGCAUGGCCGUCCACGAAGAAAAUGUAGCCAUUGGUGCCAUCUAUCGACCACAGGUUAAAGAUUGGCGAUCCGUUGGAUACCGACCGAGUUAUAGGCAAAACUUGGCGCAAAAAUGAGCCUUAUGAAAUUUUCAAAUUUUAUAUUUUUAAAUUAUUUUAUAAUUUUUCAUUCUUUUUUUGUUUAAAACAUUACUUGAGUGAAAAGAAACUUAUUGCAACCAAUUGGCAUUAAAAUAAAUCAAUUUAAAUUUUUUUGCAAAAUUUUCCAAAGAAAACGUAAGGGGUAAGCCUUAUGAAAUUUUCGAGUGAAAAUUUUUUUUUUAAUUUUUUUCUGAUUUUUUAUUCUUUUUUUACUUUAAAGCAUUAUUUGAGUGAAAAAAAACUUAUUGCAACAAAUUCGCAUUAAAUUAUAUCAAUUUUUUAAAUUUUGCUGAAUUGCUCAAAAAUGAGGAAAAUUUUACAUUUUCUCGAACAGGGUAUGGAACUUGGUUCCUCGAAUAACUUCUGGCACAGACAUCUGAGGGCAUGGCCGUCCAAGAAGAAAAUGUAGCCAUUGGUGCCAUCUAUCGACCACAGGUUAAAGAUUGGCGAUCCGUUGGAUACCGACCGAGUUAUAGGCAAAACUUGGCGCAAAAAUGAGGAAAAUUUUACAUUUUCUCAAACAGGGUAUGGAACUUGGUUCCUCGAAUAACUUCUGCCACAGACAUCUGAGGGCAUGGCCGUCCAAGAAGAAAAUGUAGCCAUUGGUACCAUCUAUCGACCACAAGUUGAAGAUUGGCGAUCCGUUGGAUACCGACCGAGUUAUAGGCAAAACUUGGCGCAAAAAUGAGUCUUAUGAAAUUUUCAAAUUUUAUAUUUCUUAAUUUUUUUUUAUAAUUUUUCAUUCUUUUUUUGUUUAAAACAUUAUUUGAGUGAAAAGAAACUUAUUGCAACCAAUUGGCAUUAAAAUAAAUCAAUUUAAAUUUUUUUGCAAAAUUUCCCAAAAAAAUCGUAAGGGGUAAGCCUUAUGAAAUUUUCGAGUGGAAAUUUUUUUUAAUUUUUUUUCUGAUUUUUUAUUCUUUUUUUACUUUAAAGCAUUAUUUGAGUGAAAAGAAACUUAUUGCAACAAAUUCGCAUUAAAUUAUAUCAUUUUUUUAAAUUUUGCUGAAUUGCUCAAAAAUGAAGAAAAUUUUACAUUUUCUCAAACAGGGUAUGGAACUUGGUUCCUCGAAUAACUUCUGGCACAGACAUCUGAGGGCAUGGCCGUCCAAGAAGAAAUUGUAGCCAUUGGUGUCAUCUAUCGACCACAGGUUGAAGAUUGGCGAUCCGUUGGAUACCGACCGAGUUAUAGGCAAAACUUGGCGCAAAAAUGAGUCUUAUGAAAUUUUCAAAUUUUAUAUUUUUUAAUUUUUUUUAUAAUUUUUCAUUCUUUUUUUGUUUAAAACAUUAUUUGAGUGAAAAGAAACUUAUUGCAACCAAUUGGCAUUAAAAUAAAUCAAUUUAAAUUUUUUUGCAAAAUUUCCCAAAAAAAUCGUAAGGGGUAAGCCUUAUGAAAUUUUCGAGUGGAAAUUUUUUUUUAAAUUUUUUUCUGAUUUUUUAUUCUUUUUUUACUUUAAAGCAUUAUUUGAGUGAAAAGAAACUUAUUGCAACAAAUUUGCAUUAAAUUAUAUCAAUUUUUUAAAUUUUGCUGAAUUGCUCAAAAAUGAAGAAAAUUUUACAUUUUCUCAAACAGGGUAUGGAACUUGGUUCCUCGAAUAACUUCUGGCACAGACAUCUGAGGGCAUGGCCGUCCAAGAAGAAAUUGUAGCCAUUGGUGUCAUCUAUCGACCACAGGUUGAAGAUUGGCGAUCCGUUGGAUACCGACCGAGUUAUAGGCAAAACUUGGCGCAAAAAUGAGUCUUAUGAAAUUUUCAAAUUUUAUAUUUUUUAAUUUUUUUUUAUAAUUUUUCAUUCUUUUUUUGUUUAAAACAUUAUUUGAGUGAAAAGAAACUUAUUGCAACCAAUUGGCAUUAAAAUAAAUCAAUUUAAAUUUUUUUGCAAAAUUUCCCAAAAAAAUCGUAAGGGGUAAGCCUUAUGAAAUUUUCGAGUGGAAAUUUUUUUUAAUUUUUUUUCUGAUUUUUUAUUCUUUUUUUACUUUAAAGCAUUAUUUGAGUGAAAAGAAACUUAUUGCAACAAAUUUGCAUUAAAUUAUAUCAAUUUUUUAAAUUUUGCUGAAUUGCUCAAAAAUGAGGAAAAUUUUACAUUUUCUCGAACAGGGUAUGGAACUUGGUUCCUCGAAUAACUUCUGGCACAGACAUCUGAGGACAUAGCCGUCCAAGAAGAAAAUGUAGCCAUUAGUGCCAUCUAGCGACCACAGGUUAAAGAUUGGCGAUCCGUUGGAUAGCGACCGAGUUAAAGGCAAAAAUUGGCGCAAAAAUGAGGAAAAUUUUACAUUUUCUCGAACAGGGUAUGGAACUUGGUUCCUCGAAUAACUUCUGGCACAGACAUCUGACGGCAUGGCCGUCCAAGAAGAAAAUGUAGCCAUUAGUGCCAUCUAUCGACCACAAGUUAAAGAUUGGCGAUCCGUUGGAUACCGACCGAGUUAUAGGCAAAACUUGGCGCAAAAAUGAAGAAAAUUUUACAUUUUCUCAAACAGGGUAUGGAACUUGGUUCCUCGAAUAACUUCUGCCACAGACAUCUGAGGGCAUGGCCGUCCAAGAAGAAAAUGUAGCCAUUGGUACCAUCUAUCGACCACAAGUUGAAGAUUGGCGAUCCGUUGGAUACCGACCGAGUUAUAGGCAAAACUUGGCGCAAAAAUGAGUCUUAUGAAAUUUUCAAAUUUUAUAUUUCUUAAUUUUUUUUUUAUAAUUUUUCAUUCUUUUUUUGUUUAAAACAUUAUUUGAGUGAAAAGAAACUUAUUGCAACCAAUUGGCAUUAAAAUAAAUCAAUUUAAAUUUUUUUGCAAAAUUUCCCAAAAAAAUCGUAAGGGGUAAGCCUUAUGAAAUUUUCGAGUGGAAAUUUUUUUUUAAAUUUUUUUCUGAUUUUUUAUUCUUUUUUUACUUUAAAGCAUUAUUUGAGUUAAAAGAAACUUAUUGCAACAAAUUCGUAUUAAAUUAUAUCAAUUUUUUAAAUUUUGCUGAAUUGCUCAAAAAUGAGGAAAAUUUUACAUUUUCUCAAACAGGGUAUGGAACUUGGUUCCUCGAAUAACUUCUGGCACAGACAUCUGAGGGCAUGGCCGUCCAAGAAGAAAAUGUAGCCAUUGGCGCCAUCUAUCGACCACAGGUUAAAGAUUGGCGAUCCGUUGGAUACCGACCGAGUUAUAGGCAAAACUUGGUGCAAAAAUGAGGAAAAUUUUACAUUUUCUCAAACAGGGUAUGGAACUUGGUUCCUCGAAUAACUUCUGCCACAGACAUCUGAGGGCAUGGCCGUCCAAGAAGAAAAUGUAGCCAUUGGUACCAUCUAUCGACCACAAGUUGAAGAUUGGCGAUCCGUUGGAUACCGACCGAGUUAUAGGCAAAACUUGGCGCAAAAAUGAGUCUUAUGAAAUUUUCAAAUUUUAUAUUUUUUAAUUUUUUUUUAUAAUUUUUCAUUCUUUUUUUGUUUAAAACAUUAUUUGAGUGAAAAGAAACUUAUUGCAACCAAUUGGCAUUAAAAUAAAUCAAUUUAAAUUUUUUUGCAAAAUUUCCCAAAAAAAUCGUAAGGGGUAAGCCUUAUGAAAUUUUCGAGUGGAAAUUUUUUUUAAUUUUUUUUCUGAUUUUUUAUUCUUUUUUUACUUUAAAGCAUUAUUUGAGUGAAAAGAAACUUAUUGCAACAAAUUCGCAUUAAAUUAUAUCAUUUUUUUAAAUUUUGCUGAAUUGCUCAAAAAUGAAGAAAAUUUUACAUUUUCUGAAACAGGGUAUGGAACUUGGUUCCUCGAAUAACUUCUGGCACAGACAUCUGAGGGCAUGGCCGUCCAAGAAGAAAUUGUAGCCAUUGGUGUCAU